rnacentral:rRNA from 1 species
UACGUAGGGUGCGAGCGUUAAUCGGAAUUACUGGGCGUAAAGCGUGCGCAGGCGGUUUUGUAAGUCAGAUGUGAAAUCCCCCGGGCUUAACCUGGGACUGCGUUUGAAACUACAAGGCUAGAGUGUGGCAGAGGGGGGUGGAAUUCCACGUGUAGCAGUGAAAUGCGUAGAGAUGUGGAGGAACACCGAUGGCGAAGGCAGCCCCCUGGGUUAACACUGACGCUCAGGCACGAAAGCGUGGGGAGCAAACAGG